GACGAACGCUGGCGGCGUGCUUAACACAUGCAAGUCGAACGGUAAGGCCCUUCGGGGUACACGAGUGGCGAACGGGUGAGUAACACGUGGGUGAUCUGCCCUGCACUUCGGGAUAAGCCUGGGAAACUGGGUCUAAUACCGGAUAGGACCACUGCCUGCAUGGGUGGUGGUGGAAAGCUUUUGCGGUGUGGGAUGGGCCCGCGGCCUAUCAGCUUGUUGGUGGGGUGAUGGCCUACCAAGGCGACGACGGGUAGCCGGCCUGAGAGGGUGACCGGCCACACUGUGACUGGGAUACGGCCCAGACGCCUACGGGAGGCAGCAGUGGGGAAUAUUGCACAAUGGGCGCAAGCCUGAUGCAGCGACGCCGCGUGAGGGAUGACGGGCUUCGGGUUGUAAACCUCUUUCAGCACCGACGAAGCGCAAGUGACGGUAGGUGCAGAAGAAGGACCGGCCAACUACGUGCCAGCCGCCGCCGUAA
rnacentral:rRNA from 1 species